AGAAUGACUCUCGGCAACGGAUAUCUAGGCUCUUGCAUCGAUGAAGAACGUAGCGAAAUGCGAUACUUGGUGUGAAUUGCAGAAUCCCGUGAACCAUCGAGUCUUUGAACGCAAGUUGCGCCCGAUGCCAUUAGGUUGAGGGCACGUCUGCCUGGGCGUCACAUA
rnacentral:rRNA from 1 species